CUUCGCCGCAGUAAAGGCGGGUGCUAGCAACCUGCUUCUUCACUGUUAAGGUCUACAGCAAACCAAUCCUCUUCCUCCGUUAGUACGAGUUCCGGCCAAUGACGUUCGCCCUCUUAGGUUUUUUUUUUUAGCCCGCCCUCCAAAAGCGUGACAGCCGUUGGGUCAUAAGUCUACAGGGCAGAAUGUUCACGUGGCCUAUUUCACGACCCAGAGUUCCUCUGACCAGAGGGUUUUUUUUUUUCCUUUUCCUUUUUUUUUUUUUUCCUGCAGGGAGGCAUUAUGGGUUUGUGGUUUUUUUCCCCCCCCACUGGGAGAGGAAGUGUCUACGUGGCCUGCGGAAAUAGGAUAGGCGGAAAUGAGCUAAGGUUCCCGCGAGUGGGGAAGCGCGAGGUCAAAUCUGGGGCCACGCCCCCAGUCCUGUGGCGCAACUCCCCGAACACGGAAAAAAAAGGCGCAGUGGGGGUUCUGCUGUGUUUGCAAGUGAGGGUCGUGAGUGCAACGGGCGCAAGGCAUUAAGGCCAGUGUGUUAGUGCGCGGGCAGGCUCGCGUGGUGCUGGGGUUGCUGUGUGAGCGGCCCUCGUGGCUCGGGAGGUGCUGUGUUUGCGCAGGCGUGCGCCCCUGGCGUCGGGACUGGUGAGAGCCACGGCGGGCGCGCGCGCGUGCGUGAUGGUGGGGGCGGUGCAGGGAGGGGUUUGCUACUGCGCGCAGGUUGUUAUCUAUUUCUGUGUUAUAUUUGAAAAUGUUCUAAUGAAAAGGAAAAUAAAUAAUUAAGGAAAGGCGACAAUAACAGAUAAAGGGGCACUGUCAGAAAUAUUUUGGCUUUCCGUACUGAUUUAAUUACUUUAAAAAUACACUUCCUACGUUUUCCUCCGUGCCAAAAUCCUAUCGUAAACCACAGCCCUCCAAUGAUUCAGAGCCAAACCCUUCCAUCGCCGCAUUAGCAACUCCAAAGGGAGGCUUCUUUCAAGUUCUCUAGUAUCGUCCUCCCUCCCCUCCUCCACACCUACCCCCUCCCUUCAAGGUUGCGUGCAGUUCUCUUGGCACAAAUACAAUUUUCCUGUGAGAAUAUCUAUCUACGACAGCCUUCCCCUCCGUUAGGGACUCCGGAUUUCUGUGGCGACUGAGGCGCUCUUACCUUUGCGUCCUGAUCUCCAAGCAAGCACACUGACCUUCUUCAGGCAAAUACGCACUGUUAAUUUUCCAGAAAGUUCUGUGAGUAAGGUUUAUACCUCUCGAGUCUGCCACUAGAUGCCGCCAAAUCCCAGCAAAGGAUUGGCUGUUUGGUCCCUGGGAUUCUGGGAUUUUGUUUCCCUCCCCCCUCCCCUUUCUGAUUUGCUGAACGGUAAUAUCUAUAGGCAUCAUGGAUAUCGUUCAUUCCUAGGAAAAAAUAAAAUCAACUUCUGUAAAUAGCACUAGUAGGCAGGGGACUGUGACCCAAGAUCCAAAUAAUUUUGCUCAUUUCUUUCCUUUUCUCCUUGGGUUAAAAAAAAAAAAAGGCCCCUCUCCAUCCCUCUUUUCUUUUGUCCUUGCCUUGUUUAAUCAAAGAGUUAAUGAAUGACGCAAGCACUGAUGCUGAAGAUCCUAACCCUUUUUCCUCACCUUUUCAAAUGCUCGCAACUCACCCAAACUGAAAAUACAGAUAGCUGUUCCGUCAGUAAAGAUAGAUAAGAACUCAUCAGUAAAACCUGGACCCUGGUAUUGAAAACUGAUUUUCCUUUUCUCUUGAAAUUUGUAUCAGAUAUGUGUUUUUGCACCCUAUUUUCUGUAGUGGUAUUGGUAAACUUUAUUGUGUCUUUGGAGUAAGAGAAAGAGACCUAAUUGUAAACCUCAUUCCACCACUUACUAGUCUCAGUACCCUGGGCAAAUGAUUUAUGUUUUGUGAUCCUCAGUUUUUUUGUAUGCUUUCUAUAUUUUAGAUGCUGUGUUAUAUCGUUCACGUUGAUUUUUUUAUUCAUCACCAAGUCCUUAUUAGAUGAGCACUACUGGAUCAAAGUCAAACAACAAAAAUCAUACCCCUUUCAAUUAUCUAUCUUAUAUACUUGUACACCACACAGGAGGGAUUUUUUUAGAGCAGUGGUUCCCAAGGUGUGUUUCCUGGAUGUACCAGAAACAUCAGCGUCACCUGAAAAGUUGUCAGAAAUUCGGAUUCUCAGGUCCCACCUCAAACUUAAUGAAUCAGAAGUUCGCAGGGUGGGGUUUAGUAAUCUGUGUUAUUACAAACUAUCCCAGUGAUUCCAGCACACACUGAAGUUUGAGAGCCACUGCUUUGGAGAGUAGAAAUGCAAUGCAUAUUUUUGUACACACCACUAGAGGGUGCUACAGAAUGUAAAGCAAAAUAAUAAAUGAUGCACAGUAUAUGUUUUCAGACACCCUCUAUAUUAUCAGUCCUAUUUUACAGAUUAAAAACUAAUGUGUAGAUAUGUCAAAUUAUUUUCUUAGUGUACGCAACAAGUAUGGGAACCAGGAUUUGAACUUCACCUGCCUCUAGCCCAAGCCCCUAAUAGUACUCUGUUGUUUAACCAUGAUGACUUGUCUUUCCAAGCCUCAAAAUACAUUAGAAAUAUCUUGUUCCCUGCUUUGGCUAAUGUUGACUGGAGUGUCAAGAAGAGUGCAGGAAAGCAAACCAAGCUGUUGCAACCUCACCAGAACAGCUGAAGAAUGAAUUUCAGCCUGGACUCUACCUUAUUAGUUGGGCACCCUUGGGGAGGGUGCAACCUGCCCAACAUUUUCUGCUGGCCCUGUCUUACCUCAUGACUAAGAGAGCCUUCCUAGGUCUGGAAGGUAGCAGUCAGUCUGUUCUGGAGGGUGGAGAGAGACACCAGUGUUUUCCCAUGGUUUCUGGGUAGUAGAUAAAAUUGGUCUAUUCUAAGGUUAAUUUGAUAUUUUAAAAUUUUGAUUCUGACUAGCUUAUUGGAUUUUUUUGAAUAAUGUUUGAUUAAUGUAAAGGUUAAAAAUAAAACCUAAUAUUUCAGCUAAGCAAAUGGUAUUUCUUUAAUAAGGACGUAUUUCUAUCUAUUUAUACCUGCCUCAUUCCAUAGGAAUUUUAUAAAGCCAGUCCAGGAAUGUAGUCUGAAUCAAUCUAGUUUGCUAGCCUGUGAGACCAGGGCAAAGAUGAAAAUAGUCAUGGGAAAGUUUUAUCCUUUUAGGGGUAUCUGUCUUCUUCUAGUUCCUCUCUCCUCCUUUGACAAAUCCCCACCCCGAGACUGACCUACCCAUUUGACAGAAUGAGAUUACUUCUUCAAAUGACCCAAAACACUGAGAUCCUGAACCUAAUCAAUAAUGUCCUUGGAUGACCUUGGGAUGCCAGAUUCACACAUAAUUCCUUGUUGUCCCCUUCCUGAGUUAAUAGUUUAGCAUACAAUUUACCAAAAUUUGUAGUUUCCUGAGCCACAGACUUCACUUGGAAUGAUCAUAUAAAGUCAUCCAUGCUACAUACCAACCCACAGAAAUGAGGACCGCUUUCCUCCAGUGUAUGCUGAGUCCUACAAUCUGAGCACUGCUUCAAGAGGAUGCCUUGAGUCAUUUUUCCAGAGUUAAAUUUGCUUAUGCUUCUAACCUCCACCUACAGUCCCCGUUACACUGGGAAUGAUAAAAACUAUGCCUUUUGAAAAUAUAAGCUGUCAUGUUAUUAAAGAUGACAAACCAGUAGUAGUUAAAGUGCUGCAUCUAAAUUGUUGAAGCUUGUUACGUGGGAGUUCAUUAGACUGUUUUUCCUACUUUUGUGUAUUUUUGAAGUUUUCCAUAAUAAAACAUUU
rnacentral:lncRNA from 10 species